CCUUCGGGUUGUAAACCGCUUUCGCCUGUGACGAAGCGUGAGUGACGGUAAUGGGUAAAGAAGCACCGGCUAACUACGUGCCAGCAGCCGCGGUGAUACGUAGGGUGCGAGCGUUGUCCGGAUUUAUUGGGCGUAAAGGGCUCGUAGGUGGUUGAUCGCGUCGGAAGUGUAAUCUUGGGGCUUAACCCUGAGCGUGCUUUCGAUACGGGUUGACUUGAGGAAGGUAGGGGAGAAUGGAAUUCCUGGUGGAGCGGUGGAAUGCGCAGAUAUCAGGAGGAACACCAGUGGCGAAGGCGGUUCUCUGGGCCUUUCCUGACGCUGAGGAGCGAAAGCGUGGGGAGCGAACAGGCUUAGAUACCCUGGUAGUCCACGCUGUAAACGGUGGGUACUAGGUGUGGGGUCCAUUCCACGGGUUCCGCGCCGUAGCUAACGCUUUAAGUACCCCGCCUGGGGAGUACGGCCGCAAGGCUAAAACUCAAAGG
rnacentral:rRNA from 1 species